rnacentral:rRNA from 1 species
UACGUAGGGGGCGAGCGUUGUCCGGAAUCAUUGGGCGUAAAGCGCGUGUAGGCGGCUUGGUAAGUCUGGUGUGAAACCUUGGGGCUCAACCCCAAGCCUGCACUGGAUACUGCCUGGCUUGAGUCCGGGAGGGGAGAGCGGAAUUCCUAGUGUAGCGGUGAAAUGCGCAGAUAUUAGGAAGAACACCGGUGGCGAAGGCGGCUCUCUGGAACGGUACUGACGCUGAGACGCGAAAGCGUGGGGAG